CAGACAACCAUUCAGCAUCGGUGCUCUUCGACAGCAACUUCGUAUCAGAAAUCUCGUGUUUGCCUCAGGAGCAACGCCUACGCAAGGUAAACAACCAAAAUGGCUAAAGCGCAUCAGAUGCGCGUACAUUCUUCUGACAGCAAGAAGAGGGUGCGUUGUUGUCGACACCGAUCGUCUCUUGUUGCUGCAUUGGAUGCCAUUCAGCUGUGGUUCCAAGUAAAUAGUAUCCACUGAUGUUGACCCAAAAAAGGAUUGUUCCUUCGUGUGUGUUUUUACAGGAAAAUAGAGGGAGGGGGGGGGGGGGGGGGGUCCUUGGUGAAUGCAAAGGGUUGUACCGCGUAGUGCACAGAUAGAACCAGAAACAGAGAUGGGCCCUCUGCUAGGAUGAUCCACCGUAUCUGGGCUUUCUACGGUGGCCUUUUUCAGGUCUCACUGCAAACACCUGGUCAAGGCCUGGCCCAUUCAGCCCAUCGUGUACUUCUGUCCGUGCCUAGGCUCCGGAGCUGCCUUCAUGCCGCCUGCUCGCCUAGUCCCGUGCGACGUGGUUGAACCACGCGGAGCGGGUCAGCCCAGCCCAGCCCAGGCCCCGCACAGGCGCGGCUGCCUGUUGACGUGACCACGCCCACGCUCGCUUUCUACCCGUCUCGUAGUAGAGGAUAGCGCAUCGGUCGGCCUUUUUAUUAGAACCACUCCUAUCUCCUACAGGAACGAAGAAACUGACCUCCAAACAAAGUUCUGCUUUUCGGCUUUUGAUCACCCCCACCACCCAGUUUUUCUAUGCUCGAUGUUCGUUUUCAUUGUGCCAGUUUUCCACGCCUCGCCACGCCUUUUGACAAGUCCACACACGGGACGGGGAUUGGUGGGAUGCCGAUGGGC
rnacentral:lncRNA from 7 species